UGGCAUGCCAGGACGCGGUGGAGCAAAACCACCAGGAGCAGGAGGCAUUCCAGGGCGAGGCGGAGGAGGUCCUUGCAUUCCAUGAGGUGGAGGAGGAGGUCCUCUCAUCAUACCACCAGGAGGAGGAAUCAUUGGCCUUUGCCCAUACUGAGGCGGUGGUGGUCCAGAAAACUGCUGUGGCGGUGGCCUCAUACCAUAAGGCGGUGGAGGACCUCUUCCCAUAGGAGGACCUUGACCACCAAAAGGAGGCGGUGGCAACAUCUGUCCCGGAGGUCGAAUAAUCGGAGGAGCUGAAAGCUGUGGUGGACGAGAGAUCUGAGGCUGCA
rnacentral:lncRNA from 1 species